GGUUAACGCUGGCGGCGCGCAUAACACAUGCAAGUCGAGCGAGGGCUUAUUUCUCGCAAGAGAGAUGAGUUCCUAGCGGCGAACGGGUGAGUAACACGUGGGCAACCUUUCCUAUCGCGGGGGAUAACACCGGGAAACCGAUGCUAAUACCGCAUGUCGUCACUGGUCGCAUGGCUGGUGAAGAAAGCAGCAAUGCACGAUGGGGUGGGCCCGCGGCCUAUCAGCUAGUCGGUGGGGUAACGGCCUACCGAGGCGAUGACGGGUAGCUGGUCUGAGA
rnacentral:rRNA from 1 species